UUGUUGAAGUCAGGAGCCCGCCUGAAGAGAGGAAUGGCGAUUAUUUUCAAAAGUUGUUGUUGAAGUCAGGAGCCCGCCUGAAGAGAGGAAAGGCGUUUUUAAAAGUUGUUGAAAUCUUGCCAACCUAAAGAAAGGAAUGGCGAUGUAUUGGUUGAAGUCAGGAGCCCGCCUGAAGAGAGGAAUGGCGAUUAUUUUCAAAGUUGUUGUUGAAGUCAGGAGCCCGCCUGAAGAGAGGAAUGACGUUUAUUUCUAAAGUUGUUAUUGAUGUUGGGAGCCCGCCCAGAUAACAGAGGCAUACAUUUCAGUCUUUACAUUUCAGUUUUGAAGUUGGGAGCCCGCCCAUAGAACAGAGGCAUACAUUCAGUCUUUACAUUUCAAGCAUUGAAGUUGGGAGCCCGCCCAUAUAACAGAGGCAUACAUUUCAGUCUUUAAUUUUCAAAUGUUGAAAUUGGGAGCCCGCCCAGAUAACAGAGGCAUACAUUUCAGUCUUUACAUUUCAAGUAUUGAAGUUGGGAGCUCGCCCAGAUAACAGAGGCAUACAUUUCAAGAUCAAGUCAGAGGACAAUAAAACAGAGGGUUACAAUAGGAAUCCCCAGCAAGAAACAAUAAAAAUCCCCAGCACCGGGAAACAGAAGGUUACAACAAAAGGUCACAGUACAAACUCAAGUACAUGUGUCAAAAGAAGAAAAGCACCGGAAGAAAUGCAAGCAGACAAGGAAGCAAGGCAACAAAAACAAAUUGUACUCUAGCCUAGCUUCUUGUUUUCUUUUAAGCAUGGUGUAACAAGGAGAUCGGUAAGCAGUGAUAAU
rnacentral:lncRNA from 1 species